rnacentral:piRNA from 1 species
UCCCUGCAUGUGUGCCCAGAGAUCAGGCCC